GUGCUCCUUUCCACAGCACAUAUACUAAAACUGGAACAAUAGAGAGAAGAUUAGCAUGGCCCCUGCGCAAGGAUGACACACAAAUUCGUGAAGUGUUCCAUAUUUAA
rnacentral:snRNA from 1 species